UUUCCGGUUGAUCCCGCCGGACCUGACUGCUAUCGGAUUGAUACUAAGCCAUGCGAGUCUUUGCAGUAAUGCAAGGCAUACGGCUCAGUAACACGUAGUCAACCUACCCUAUGGACGAGAAUAAUCUCGGGAAACUGAGCAUAAUUCUUGAUAGAUCAUAAUGCCUGGAAUGGUUUAUGGUUAAAAUGAUUCGUCGCCAUAGGAUGGGACUGCGGCCUAUCAGCUUGUUGGUGAGGUAAUGGCCCACCAAGGCGAUUACAGGUACGGGCUCUGAGAGGAGAAGCCCGGAGAUGGGUACUGAGACACGGACCCAGGCCCUAUGGGGCGCAGCAGGCGAGAAAACUUUGCAAUGUGCGAAAGCACGACAAGGUUAAUCCGAGUGAUUUCUGCUAAAGAAAUCUUUUGCCAGUCGUAAAACCGCUGGUGAAUAAGGGGUGGGCAAGUUCUGGUGUCAGCCGCCGCGGUAAAACCAGCACCUCAAGUGGUCAGGAUGAUUAUUGGGCCUAAAGCAUCCGUAGCCUGCUUUGUAAGUUUUCGGUUAAAUCCAUGUGCUCAACGCAUGGGCUGCCGAAAAUACUGCAUAGCUAGGGAGUGGGAGAGGUAGACGGUACUCAGUAGGUAGGGGUAAAAUCCUUUGAUCUAUUGAUGACCACCUGUGGCGAAGGCGGUCUACCAGAACACGUUCGACGGUGAGGGAUGAAAGCUGGGGGAGCAAACCGGAUUAGAUACCCGGGUAGUCCCAGCUGUAAACGAUGCAGACUCGAUGAUGCAUUGGCAUAAUAGCCAUUGCAGUGUCGCAGGGAAGCCGUUAAGUCUGCCGCCUGGGAAGUACGUACGCAAGUAUGAAACUUAAAGGAAUUGGCGGGGGAGCACCACAAGGGGUGAAGCCUGCGGUUCAAUUGGAGUCAACGCCGGG
rnacentral:rRNA from 1 species